rnacentral:rRNA from 1 species
UACGUAGGUGGCAAGCGUUAUCCGGAUUUAUUGGGUUUAAAGGGUGCGCAGGCGGCACGGCAAGCCGGCGGUCAAAUCGCGGGGCUCAACCCCGCCCAGCCGUCGGAACUGCCGGGCUAGAGUGGGCGAGAAGUGCGCGGAAUGCGUGGUGUAGCGGUAAAAUGCAUAGAUAUCACGCAGAACUCCGAUUGCGAAGGCAGCGCACCGGCGCCCUACUGACGCUCAGGCACGAAAGCGUGGGUAUCGAACAGG